GCACUGCUGAGGAGUCCAAAAACAGGACGAAACGGCCGUCCAGUGC
rnacentral:hammerhead_ribozyme from 1 species